rnacentral:rRNA from 1 species
AGCUACUAAGAGCGAAUGGUGGAUGCCUUGGUUGGUAGAGGCGAUGAAAGACGUGCUAGACUGCGAUAAGUCUCGGGGAGUUGUCAAGGAGCUUUGAUCCGGGAAUUUCUGAAUGGGGAAACCCAGUAUAUAGUGAUAUAUACUACCUAUAUGGAGCAAACGUGGGGAAUUGAAACAUCUUAGUACCCACAGGAAAAGAAAUCAAAUGAGAUUACGAAAGUAGCGGCGAGCGAAAUCGUAAAAGGGCAAACCACUAGUUUACUAGUGGGGUUGUAGGACUGUAACAUAGACUAAAAAGAGUUAAUAGAAUAAUCUGGAAAGUUUAAGCAUAGAGGGUGAUACUCCCGUAUAUGAAAACUCUUUUUUACUUAACAGUAUCCUGAGUAGGGCGAGGCACGUGAAACCUUGUCUGAAUCUGGGAAGACCACUUUCCAACCCUAAAUACUACUACCAAACCGAUAGUGAACAAGUACCGUGAGGGAAAGGUGAAAAGAACGGGGGUGACCCGAGUGAAAUAGAACCUGAAACCAUUUGCUUACAAUCAUUCAGAGCACGAUUCUUUAUGACGUGUGAUGGACUGCCUUUUGCAUAAUGAGCCUGCGAGUUGUGAUAUCUGGCAAGGUUAAGGAAAUCCGGAGCCGUAGCGAAAGCAAGUCUUAAUAGGGCGUUUAGUCAGAUAUUGCAGACCCGAAACGAAGUGAUCUAUCCAUGAGCAGGUUGAAACCGGUGUAAGAGCCGGCGGAGGACCGAACCCGCUGACGUUGAAAAGUCUUGGGAUGACUUGUGGAUAGGGGUGAAAGGCCAAUCAAACUUCGUGAUAGCUGGUUCUCUCCGAAAUAUAUUUAGGUAUAGCGUUAUGUAGUAAUUAGAGGGGGUAGAGCACUGAAUGGGCUAGGGCAUACACCAAUGUACCAAACCCUAUCAAACUCCGAAUACCUUUAAUGUAAUCAUAGCAGUCAGGCGGCGAGUGAUAAAAUCCGUCGUCAAGAGGGGAACAACCCAGACUACCGACUAAGGUCCCAAAAUCUUAUUUAAGUGGAAAACGAUGUGAAGUUACUUAAACAACCAGGAGGUUGGCUUAGAAGCAGCCAUCCUUUAAAGAUAGCGUAAUAGCUCACUGGUCUAGUGAUUUUGCGCGGAAAAUAUAACGGGGCUAAAAUAAGUACCGAAGUCGUAGACUUAGUUUUACUAAGUGGUAGGAGAGCGUUGUAUUUAGCGUUGAAGAUGUACCGGUAAGGAGCGUUGGAGCAAAUACAAGUGAGCAUGCAGGCAUGAGUAGCGUUAAAUCAGGUGAGAAUCCUGAUCGCCGAAAACCCAAGGUUUCCUACGCGAUGCUCGUCAUCGUAGGGUUAGUCGGGUCCUAAGCAAAGUCCGAAAGGGGUAUGCGAUGGAAAAUUGGUUAAUAUUCCAAUACCAAUUAUUAUGUGCGAUGGAAGGACGCUUAAAGUUAGUGGAGCUAACUGAUGGAAUAGUUAGUCUAAGGUCGUAGGUUGAGUUAUAGGCAAAUCCGUAACUCUUUAUCCGAAAGCUUAAAGGCUUACAAAGCUCUUCGGAGUAGCGUAAGAAUCCAUGAUACUAUAGAGCCAAGAAAAGUUUCUAAGUUUAGUAAUAAUUGCCCGUACCGUAAACCGACACAGGUGGGUGGGAUGAGUAUUCUAAGGCGCGUGGAAGAACUCUCUUUAAGGAACUCUGCAAAAUAGCACCGUAUCUUCGGUAUAAGGUGUGCCUACCAGGGUGCAAGCCCUAGAGGUUACAACAAAGAGUCCCUCCCGACUGUUUACCAAAAACACAGCACUCUGCUAACACGUAAGUGGAUGUAUAGGGUGUGACGCCUGCCCGGUGCUCGAAGGUUAAUUGAUGGAGUUAGCAUUAGCAAAGCUCUUGAUCGAAGCCCGAGUAAACGGCGGCCGUAACUAUAACGGUCCUAAGGUAGCGAAAUUCCUUGUCGGUUAAAUACCGACCUGCAUGAAUGGCGUAACGAGAUGGGAGCUGUCUCAAAGAGGGAUCCAGUGAAAUUGUAGUGGAGGUGAAAAUUCCUCCUACCCGCGGCAAGACGGAAAGACCCCGUGGACCUUUACUAUAGCUUGACACUGCUACUUGGAUAAAGAUGUGCAGGAUAGGUGGGAGAUUAUGAUCUAUAGAUGCUAGUCUAUAAGGAGUCAUCCUUGAGAUACCACUCUUCUUUAUUCGGGUAGCUAACUAGCCUAAGUUAUCCUUAGGUAGGACAAUGUCUGGUGGGUAGUUUGACUGGGGCGGUCGCCUCCCAAAUAAUAACGGAGGCUUACAAAGGUUGGUUCAAAACGGUUGGAAAUCGUUUGUAGAGUAUAAAGGCAAAAACCAGCUUAACUGCGACACCGACAAGUGGAGCAGAGACGAAAGUCGGUCUUAGUGAUCCGGUGGUUCUGUGUGGAAGGGCCAUCGCUCAAAGGAUAAAAGGUACCCCGGGGAUAACAGGCUGAUCUCCCCCAAGAGCUCACAUCGACGGGGAGGUUUGGCACCUCGAUGUCGGCUCAUCGCAUCCUGGGGCUGGAGCAGGUCCCAAGGGUAUGGCUGUUCGCCAUUUAAAGCGGUACGCGAGCUGGGUUCAGAACGUCGUGAGACAGUUCGGUCCCUAUCUGCCGUGGGCGUAAGAAGAUUGAGGAGAGUUGACCCUAGUACGAGAGGACCGGGUUGAACCAACCACUGGUGUAUAAGUUGUC